GACGAACCGUGCGAACGUUGUUCGGAAUCACUGGGCUUAAAGGGCGCGUAGGCGGGUUCGCAAGUCGGGGGUGAAAUCUUUCAGCUCAACUGGAAAAGUGCCCCCGAUACUGCGAGUCUCGAGGGAGGUAGGGGCAUGCGGAACUUCCGGUGGAGCGGUGAAAUGCGGUAGAUAUCGGAAGGAACGCCGGUGGCGAAGCGGCGUGCUGGACCUCUUCUGACGCUGAGGCGCGAAAGCCAGGGAGCAAAGCGGG
rnacentral:rRNA from 1 species